CCUACUUUGUUCAUCAUUGAUGAAUAUUUUUCAAUUUUCUCGAGCCUGAACCAGCCAAGUAGCGUGAAGGAUGACUGCCCUACGGGUUGUAAACCUCUUUUAUCAGGGAAUAAAGUGAGGCACGUGUGCCCAUGUGUAUGUAUUUUAUGAAUAAGGCUCGGCGAAAGUCCUGCCAGCAGCCGCGGUAAUACGGAGGAUCCGAGCGUUAUUCGGCUUUAUUUGGUUUAAAGGGAGCGUAGGUGGGUUGUUAAGUCAGUUGGUAAAGUUUGCGGCUCAACCGUAAAAUAGCAAUUGGUACUGGCAGUCGUGAGUGGGGGUGAAGUAGGCGGAAUGCGUGGUGUAGCGGUGAAAUGCAUAGAUAUCACGAAGAACGCCGAGUGCGAAGGCAGCAUACUGACCUGACACUGACGUUGAGGCUCGAAAGUGUGGGUAUCGAACAGGAUUAGAUACCCUGGUAGUC
rnacentral:rRNA from 1 species